CUGACAUUGACACCAGCACAGUGGAAUCUUCAUCACAGGCCAAGCUGCAGCGGCAGCAGGACUAAUCCAAGAAGAUAAGAAUAUCCUGAUCAAUUGGUGCUCUACAAAUAGGAAGAUAAUCAUACAGGAAACAAUGAAUGCCCAACAUCUGCCAUCUUGGCUCUCAUGUUGAAGGUAUCUGGAAAUGCAGAUUAACAGAACUCCUCAGGCUGCUGUGAAUGACAUCACAGAGCUGCGCUUCCGCCUCUGCUGCUGCUGACACUUCCGUGAUGUGCUGACAGGCCCCUCAGCAGCUCCAGACCAAUAGCCCUCCAGCUGCAAGGGCUGGCUGCCAUCUCCUACUCCCACUCUGGACUGGAGAAGGAACAGACAGCUCACCUGGAGCCACCUGAGCAGAGGAUGGAGUGGACAAUGAGGAAUAGAAACUAGGCAGCGAUACAACAGAAGUCUCAACAAAGCACUGACACACUGA
rnacentral:lncRNA from 1 species